GCAGGGCGCGGUGGCGCAUGCCUUAGUCCUAGCUACUCGGGAGGCUGAGGCUGGAGGAUUGCUUGAAUCCAGGAGUUCUGGGUUGCAGUGUGCUAUGCCAAUCAGGUGUCUGCACUAAGUUUGGCAUCAAUAUGGUGACCUCCUGGGAGCGGGGGACCACCAGGUUCCCUAAGAAGGGGUGAACCGGCCCAGGUCAGAAACGGAGCAGGUCAAAAUCCCGUGCCGAUCAGUAGUGGCAUCGUGCCUGUGAAUAGCCACUGCACUCCAGCCUGGGCACAUAGCGAGACCCCGUCUCU
rnacentral:SRP_RNA from 1 species